AUGAGAAGUGCUUCCUGCAGGGUCCUGGGGGGUCUCCUGGGUUGGCUACAGGGUGGUAGGCGGCUCUUGGGUGGGCAUCUCCCACCAAGCUGAGUGACUCAGCACACAGUACUUCUCUUCCUCGCCACGAAGGCCCAGAGGACCCAGGAGCACCAUAUAUACGACAGGGCAGCAACCAGCCUCUGUCCUGCCAGCCUGUGUGUGGGGACCACCUUGGGGCCACUACGCCCAUAGAGUUAAAAUCCGACAUAGCAGCCCACAUGGCUCCUUCCCCUUCUGAGGUUGUCCUGGAAACAGGCUUCCCCUGGGGUAGCCUGCUCGGCAUUUACGAAACUCGACACAUGAACCAAACUCCACGCUCAUCAGCUCCUCAGCUUUGCCCUUUGUGGGUGGGCCUCCGCACCCAGGCUGCGGCCUGGACCGCACCCCGCUGCCCUAGCAGGCUUCCUCCUUCUAUGCGGAGAGACUCCUCCCUCUUGGGGGUUGCCUGAGACAGGGCAGAACAGACUCCCAGAAUGCACAUGGGAGGAAGCCAUGCCCUCAUCGGCCCCAGGAAGAUGACUGGAGAAGGGGCCCAGAAAUACAGCUUCCACCCCCAGAUGUCCCAGACACAUCUGAGACCACCUGGUCCCACCAGUGACAUCACAAAAGAGUUCACCUGAUUAGCCCCAGGCCAUGGAGAAUGGGGGGGGAAAGAGCCCCCAGACACCAGUGCAAGGCGCUCACCUGGUGAAGGCCUUGCCCAACACCGAGGGUGGAGCUUAGACCUGUUUUUCCAUACUGAUUGCAAGAACCGGCCCAGGCUCUGCCACUGGUCUGGGCUAGAGUGAACGCUCUCUCCUUCCCGGCAGCUGCUUCCACAGAGGGAGCCACCUGGUCACUGGCCUUGGAUUAUUCAGGUUUCCAAAGAGGCCGUCAGUCAGGCGCAGAUGAUUCAGAGAAUUCGCCGCCUGCACUGACCUCUGAUCCACCUCUAUGAAUGUGGCUCUUCUAGAUCCCUCAUGCUACAGCAAGCAGCGGGGCAAGGCGUCGGCAGCCCCGGGAAGGAGAAAGGGCACUUACUUCAUGAUCAGAAUAUAAAACACAUACAAGAUGAUGAGCACCAGGCCUUCCCACCUCAAAGAGAGAAAGGAGAUUGCGGAGUCGUUCAUUAUUGUGGAAAAUCACAUCAUCAACAUCGGCACCACCCACGGGGUUUAGGAGAGAGCCCAACACUUGGGCAUCAGUCUGCAUUUGUACUAGACGGUCUCAGAGAUUGUUUGUGUAGGAGGGAACCAAUCCCUUCAUUGGCUCUCCUGGCUUCUUCAUGCCAAACCAUUUACAUACUGAAAGAUGUAUUCUUUUAUUAUAAAUUACAUUUAUUUCUCCUUUAUAUUAUAGUUAGGGCAUAUGUUGACCUGUUUGAAAUCGUGUAUCCGUAGAUUGUUUCAUCUGUAGAAUCAUCUCAGACAUCUACUUUUUGGAGGGUGUGGUAGGCAGCCUGUAGGGGGUCCCCAUGCUCCCACUGAAUCACAUUCAUGCUUCCCUAGCACGUGGGCUGCACCUGGUGACUUGCUUCUAACAAACAGAAUACAGCACAUGUGGCAGGUAUCACUCCCGAAAGCAGGUUAGGAAAAGGCUGUGGCUUCCAUCUUGGUGCCUCUGGCCCUUGCUCUGAGGGAAGCCCGCAACCCAGCUGAGAGCUGCCCUGUGGAACAGCCAGCAGCCCAAGGCCUGCCCACAGCCACAUGAGUGACCCUGCAAGAGCAGCCCCGCCCACCAAGCUCUGUGAUGAUGCUACCCUGGCUAAUGCCUUAACCGCAGCCUAGCAGAGGACCUGGCCUAGAGGACCCAGCUAUACCAUU